CGCGUAGGCGGUCCGACAAGUCAGGGGUGAAAUCCUGCAGCUUAACUGCAGAAGUGCCUUUGAUACUGUCGGUCUCGAGGGAGAUAGGGGUGUGCGGAACUUCCAGUGGAGCGGUGAAAUGCGUUGAUAUUGGAAGGAACGCCGGAGGCGAAAGCGGCGCACUGGAUCUCUUCUGACGCUGAGGCGCGAAAGCUAGGGGAGCAAACG
rnacentral:rRNA from 1 species